rnacentral:tRNA from 1 species
GGCUUCGUAGAUGAGCUGGUACAGCACACGUACGGUAUUAGAACGUGUGCGUGUGUGGGUUCAAAUCUCACCGAGAUUA